GUGGGGCACAGGCUGCGUGGGGGGAGCCCACCCUGGCGCAGCCCCACGGCUGCUCCUGCCAAGGAAUUUUCUCGGCCUCCAUCAACAGCAUGAGCACAGCCACCCGCUGUGCCCCCAUGGCCAGGGCCACCUGCCCCAUCACGAGCAGCACCGCACACCUGGUCCUGCUGGCUCUGAAGAUCUCCUGCUCCACCUGCGAGCCAAUGCCAGCCGACUCCAAGACAGGCCUGCCGCUGGCCAAGGCCAAGCCAAUCCGCGCCUCUGGGAUAACAUAGUUAAGAAGAAGAAAAACACUUAGAGAGAGAGCUUUUGCAGCCAGAGAGAGGAGUGAGAAGAUGUAAGAAACUCUGCAGACACCCAGGUCAGUGCAGAAGGAGGGGCAGGAGGUGCUCCAGGCACCGGAGCAGAGAUCCCCCUGCAGCCCGUGGUGAAGGCCAUGGUGAAGCAGGCUGUCCCCCUGCAGCC